AUGAUGUCAGAGAAGGACAGUCACAUCACUGCAGACUGUGAAGGGGCAGGUGGCAUCAAGGUCAAAUAUUUAAAGGCUUUUCAGAUCAAUAAAGCAGAGACAAACUCUAUUGAAAGCGCUUAUAGGAGAGAACGAUGUGAAGAAUGGUUUUAGAUGCCUUUUCAACGAAUUAGGAUGACCAAGAAAAGCGCUACCAGCAAAACAAACUUUCAGUAAAAAGCAUAUUUUUUUUCUACAGCACAGUGCUCACAAUAAAUGACAGAAUUCAUCUGACUCUAAAGUUUUU
rnacentral:lncRNA from 1 species